GCAUACGUCCGUACGGGAGAAAGCAGGGGACCUUCGGGCCUUGCGCUAUCAGAUGAGCCUAGGUCGGAUUAGCUAGUUGGUGAGGUAAUGGCUCACCAAGGCGACGAUCCGUAACUGGUCUGAGAGGAUGAUCAGUCACACUGGAACUGAGACACGGUCCAGACUCCUACGGGAGGCAGCAGUGGGGAAUAUUGGACAAUGGGUGAAAGCCUGAUCCAGCCAUGCCGCGUGUGUGAAGAAGGUCUUCGGAUUGUAAAGCACUUUAAGUUGGGAGGAAGGGUAGUAACCUAAUACGUUGCUACUUUGACGUUACCGACAGAAUAAGCACCGGCUAACUUCGUG
rnacentral:rRNA from 1 species